rnacentral:rRNA from 1 species
GACGAACGCUGGCGGCGUGCUUAACACAUGCAAGUCGAACGGAAAGGCCCUGCUUUUGUGGGGUGCUCGAGUGGCGAACGGGUGAGUAACACGUGAGUAACCUACCCUUGACUUUGGGAUAACUUCAGGAAACUGGGGCUAAUACCGGAUAGGAGCUCCUGCUGCAUGGUGGGGGUUGGAAAGUUUCGGCGGUUGGGGAUGGACUCGCGGCUUAUCAGCUUGUUGGUGGGGUAGUGGCUUACCAAGGCUUUGACGGGUAGCCGGCCUGAGAGGGUGACCGGCCACAUUGGGACUGAGAUACGGCCCAGACUACUACGGGAGGCAGCAGUGGGGAAUAUUGCACAAUGGGCGGAAGCCUGAUGCAGCAACGCCGCGUGCGGGAUGACGGCCUUCGGGUUGUAAACCGCUUUCGCCUGUGACGAAGCGUGAGUGACGGUAAUGGGUAAAGAAGCACCGGCUAACUACGUG